GGUGAACGCUGGCGGCGUGCUUAAGACAUGCAAGUCGAACGGCAGUCUUCGGACUGUAGUGGCGCACGGGUGAGUAACGCGUAACUGACCUACCCCAAAGUCGCGGAUAACGAUUCGAAAGAAUCGCUAAUACGUGAUGUGCUGUCAGAUUGUGUUCUGCCAGUAAAGAUUGAUUGCUUUGGGAUGGGGUUGCGUCCCAUCAGCUAGUUGGUGGGGUAAAGGCCCACCAAGGCGACGACGGAUAGCCGGCCUGAGAGGGUGGCCGGCCACAGGGGCACUGAGACACGGGUCCCACUCCUACGCGAGGCAGCAGUUAGGAAUCUUCCACAAUGGGCGAAAGCCUUAUGGAGCGACGCCGCGUGAGGGAUGAAGGUCUUCGGAUCGUAAACCUCUGAAUCAGGGACGAAAGACACUUCGGUGGGAUGACGGUACCUGAGUAAUAGCACCGGCUAACUCCGUGCCAGCCGCCGCGGUAAAAC
rnacentral:rRNA from 1 species